rnacentral:rRNA from 1 species
AGCGAACGCUGGCGGCAGGCUUAACACAUGCAAGUCGAGCGGACCUUUCGGGGUCAGCGGCGGACGGGUGAGUAACACGUGGGAACGUGCCUUCCGGUUCGGAAUAACCCUGGGAAACUAGGGCUAAUACCGGAUACGCCCUUAUGGGGAAAGGUUUACUGCCGGAAGAUCGGCCCGCGUCUGAUUAGCUAGUUGGUGGGGUAACGGCCUACCAAGGCGACGAUCAGUAGCUGGUCUGAGAGGUUGAUCAGCCACACUGGGACUGAGACACGGCCCAGACUCCUACGGGAGGCAGCAGUGGGGAAUAUUGGACAAUGGGCGCAAGCCUGAUCCAGCCAUGCCGCGUGAGUGAUGAAGGCCUUAGGGUUGUAAAGCUCUUUUAUCCGGGACGAUAAUGACGGUACCGGAGGAAUAAGCCCCGGCUAACUUCGUG